rnacentral:rRNA from 1 species
UUAACCGUAUAGGGGAGCCGGAGGGAAACCGAGUCUUAACUGGGCGUUAAGUUGCAGGGUAUAGACCCGAAACCCGGUGAUCUAGCCAUGGGCAGGUUGAAGGUUGGGUAACACUAACUGGAGGACCGAACCGACUAAUGUUGAAAAAUUAGCGGAUGACCUGUGGCUGGGGGUGAAAGGCCAAUCAAACCGGGAGAUAGCUGGUUCUCCCCGAAAGCUAUUUAGGUAGCGCCUCGUGAACUCAUCUCCGGGGGUAGAGCA